AACGAACGCUGGCGGCAGGCUUAACACAUGCAAGUCGAACGCCCCGCAAGGGGAGUGGCAGACGGGGGAGUAACGCGUGGGAAUCUACCCAUCCCUACGGAACAACUCCGGGAAACUGGAGCUAAUACCGUAUACGCCCUUAGGGGGAAAGAUUUAUCGGGGAUGGAUGAGCCCGCGCUGGAUUAGCUAGUUGGUGGGGUAAAGGCCUACCAAGGCGCCGAUCCAUAGCUGGUCUGAGAGGAUGAUCAGCCACAUUGGGACUGAGACACGGCCCAAACUCCUACGGGAGGCAGCAGUGGGGAAUAUUGGACAAUGGGCGCAAGCCUGAUCCAGCCAUGCCGCGUGAGUGAUGAAGGCCUUAGGGUUGCAAAGCUCUUUCACCGAUGAAGAUAAUGACGGUAGUCGGAGAAGAAGCCCCGGCUAACUUCGUGCCAGCCGCCGCAGUAACAC
rnacentral:rRNA from 1 species